rnacentral:rRNA from 1 species
CAGAGGGUGCGAGCGUUAAUCGGAAUUACUGGGCGUAAAGCGUGCGUAGACGGUUAUUUAAGUCGGGUGUGAAAGCCCCGGGCUCAACCUGGGAAUUGCAUUCGAGACUGAAUAGCUAGGGUACGGUAGAGGGAAGUGGAAUUUCCGGUGUAGCGGUGAAAUGCGUAGAUAUCGGAAGGAACAUCAGUGGCGAAAGCGACUUCCUGGACCAGUACCGACGUUCAGGCACGAAAGCGUGGGGAGCAAACAGGAUUAGAUACCCUGGUAGUCCACGCCAUAAACGAUGAGGACUAGACGUUGGAGGGGUAAGCCUUUCAGUGUCGUAGCUAACGCGCUAAGUCCUCCGCCUGGGGAGUACGGCCGCAAGGUUG